rnacentral:rRNA from 1 species
UACGUAGGGUGCGAGCGUUAAUCAGAAUUACUGGGCGUAAAGCGUGCGCAGGCGGUUGGUUAAGUCUGAUGUGAAAGCCCCGGGCUCAACUUGGGAACUGCAUUGGAAACUGGCCAGCUGGAGUGUGGCAGAGGGGGGUGGAAUUCCGCGUGUAGCAGUGAAAUGCGUAGAGAUGCGGAGGAACACCGAUGGCGAAGGCAGCCCCCUGGGCCAACACUGACGCUCAGGCACGAAAGCGUGGGGAGCAAACAGG